rnacentral:rRNA from 1 species
CCCUUAGAUGUUCUGGGCCGCACGCGCGCUACACUGAUGCAUUCAACGAGCCUAGCCUUGACCGAGAGGUCCGGGUAAUCUUUGAAACUGCAUCGUGAUGGGGCUAGAUUAUUGCAAUUAUUAAUCUUCAACGAGGAAUGCCUAGUAAGCGUGAUUCAUCAAAUCGCGUUGAUUGCGUCCCUGCCCUUUGUACACACCGCCCGUCGCUCCUACCGAUUGAGUGUGUUGGUGAGGAGUUUGGAUUGGCCUCGGAAGGUGGUUCGCCACCGUCCGUAGCUGAGAAGUUCUCCAAACCGCCCCACUUAGAGGAAGGAGAAGUCGUAACA